rnacentral:rRNA from 1 species
GCUUACUGCAUUUUUUCUUACACAUGUGUUUUUCUUUUUUUGAAAACUUUGCUUUGGUAGGCCUUCUAUAUGGGGCCUGCCAGAGAUUAAACUCAACCAAAUUUUAUUUAAUGUCAACCGAUUAUUUAAUAGUCAAAACUUUCAACAACGGAUCUCUUGGUUCUCGCAUCGAUGAAGAACGCAGCGAAAUGCGAUAAGUAAUAUGAAUUGCAGAUAUUCGUGAAUCAUCGAAUCUUUGAACGCACAUUGCGCCCUUUGGUAUUCCAAAGGGCAUGCCUGUUUGAGCGUCAUUUCUCCCUCAAACCCUCGGGUUUGGUGUUGAGCGAUACGCUGGGUUUGCUUGAAAGAAAGGCGGAGUAUAAACUAAUGGAUAGGUUUUUUCCACUCAUUGGUACAAACUCCAAAACUUCUUCCAAAUUCGACCUCAAAUCAGGUAGGACUACCCGCUGAACUUAAGCAUAUCAAUAAGCGGAGGAAAAGAAACUUUUUUU